UUACUUUUAAGAAAUCUUUAUUAAAACUUACUCAUCCCACACAGUGCAUUUAUUACAUGAAUAAAUUGUGUAAAUAUUUGUAGUUUUACUUAAAAAAAAAUCAUGUUCUCCUAGAAUCUUUAUUACUAUGUAGAAAUUAUUAAAUACAAUUUAAUAUAAUUUACUAGCCCCAAGUUUGUUUUUUCAGUGUACUAUGUGUUUUUAUGUCUCUAUAUUGAUUUUGCAAUGUUAGAUUUUAGUACCACUAUUAAAUGUUGUCUCUCCUUUUCACCAUGUGUAAAGCAUAUUUAAUUGCAUUGUGUAUAAAAUGCGCCAAACAAAUACAUUUGCCUUGCUUUGCUAUAAUUACACGGAACUACAAAGCUGCUUUUUUUGAAGGCUCAACGUCGCCAAGUUGAACGCCUGCAGAAAUUACACAAACAUCACGAUGUAUGUGAAAGUCGUUAUGAAAAGGCAAGUGCAGAAUUGUUAGAGAUGGAGAGAGCGCAAACAGCGGUCUUCCAUCGUCGUCUGUUUUCAACGAUGCAAGAACAGACACAGAUAGAUGGAGAAAUGUUGGCAGAUAACAAGAAUGCAGAGAUAAUGGAACCCUUGAUGAAUACAGACAGCAUGAUGGUAAGUACAGCUCUACUUUAAGCUCACCUGGAUUUAGUUUUAGAUACUCUUCAGUAUUGGACAUUUGAUGAAGCACAACUGACUGAAAGAGGCCAUC
rnacentral:lncRNA from 1 species